CCUACGGGAGGCAGCAGUGAGGAAUAUUGGUCAAUGGGCGGAAGCCUGAACCAGCCAAGUCGCGUGAGGGAAUAAGGCCCUACGGGUCGUAAACCUCUUUUGCCGGGGAGCAAGGGCCGGGACGCGUCCCGGCCCGGAGAGUACUCGGAGAAAAAGCACCGGAUAACUCCGUCCCAGCAGCCGCGUUAAGACGGAGGAUGCGAGCGUUAUCCGGAUUUAUUGGGUUUAAAGGUUGCGUAGGCGGGCUGUUAAGUCAGCGGUAAAAAUUCGGGGCUCAACCCCGGCCGGCCGUUGAACCUGGGGGCCGUGAGAGGGCGAGAAGAAGGCGGAAUGCGUGGUGUAGCGGUGAAAUGCAUAGAUAUCGCGCAGAACCCCGAUUGCGAAGGCAGCCUGCCGGCGCCCUACUGACGCUGAGGCACGAAAGUGCGGGGAUCGAACAGGAUUAGAUACCCUAGUAGUC
rnacentral:rRNA from 1 species